rnacentral:rRNA from 1 species
UCUGGCUCAGGACAAACGCUGGCGGCGUGCCUAACACAUGCAAGUCGAACGAAGCACUGUGGAAAGAGACUCGGUCAAUUGAAACUUGACUUAGUGGCGGACGGGUGAGUAAUGCAUGAGCAACCUGCCCUGGAGAGGGGGACAACAGCUGGAAACGGCUGCUAAUACCGCAUGAUGUCACCGGGAGGCAUCUCCUGAUGACCAAAGAUUUAUCGCUCUGGGAUGGGCCCAUGUCUGAUUAGAUAGUUGGCGGGGUAACGGCCCACCAAGUCUGCGAUCAGUAGCCGGACUGAGAGGUUGAACGGCCACAUUGGGACUGAGAUACGGCCCAGACUCCUACGGGAGGCAGCAGUGGGGAAUAUUGGGCAAUGGGCGCCAAGCCUGACCCAGCAACGCCGCGUGAAGGAAGAAGGCUUUCGGGUUGUAAACUUCUUUUAUCAGGGACGAAGAAAGUGACGGUACCUGAUGAAUAAGCCACGGCUAACUACGUGCCAGCCGCGGC